GACGAACGCUGGCGGCGUGCUUAACACAUGCAAGUCGAACGGAAAGGCCCUGCUUUUGUGGGGUGCUCGAGUGGCGAACGGGUGAGUAACACGUGAGUAACCUGCCCUUGACUUUGGGAUAACUUCAGGAAACUGGGGCUAAUACCGGAUAGGAGCUCCUGCUGCAUGGUGGGGGUUGGAAAGUUUCGGCGGUUGGGGAUGGACUCGCGGCUUAUCCGCUUGUUGGUGGGGUAGUGGCUUACCAAGGCUUAGACGGGUAGCCGGCCUGAGAGGGUGACCGGCCACAUUGGUACUGAGGUACGCCCCAGACGCCUACGUGAGGCAACAGGGGGGAAUAUGGCACAAUGGGCGGAAGCCUGAUGCAGCAACGCCGCGUGCGGGAUGACGGCCUUCGGGUUGUAAACCGCUUUCGCCUGUGACGAAGCGUGAGUGACGGUAAUGGGUAAAGAAGCACCGGCUAACUACGUG
rnacentral:rRNA from 1 species